rnacentral:rRNA from 1 species
UGGGGAAUAUUGGACAAUGGGCGAAAGCCUGAUCCAGCCAUGCCGCGUGGGUGAAGAAGGUCUUCGGAUUGUAAAGCACUUUAAGUUGGGAGGAAGGGCAGUAAGCGAAUACCUUGCUGUUUUGACGUUACCGACAGAAUAAGCACCGGCUAACUCUGUGCCAGCAGCCGCGGUAAUACAGAGGGUGCAAGCGUUAAUCGGAAGUACUGGGCGUAAAGCGCGCGUAGGUGGUUCGUUAAGUUGAAUGUGAAAGCCCCGGGCUCAACCUGGGAACUGCAUCCAAAACUGGCGGGCUAGAGUAGGGCAGAGGGUGGUGGAAUUUCCUGUGUAGCGGUGAAAUGCGUAGAUAUAGGAAGGAACACCAGUGGCGAAGGCGACCACCUGGGCUCAUACUGACGCUGAGGUGCGAAAGCGUGGGGAGCAAACAGG